rnacentral:piRNA from 1 species
UGUGUUGAAAGUAGAGGCAUGAU